AGCGAAUCAGCUCUGUACAAUCCAUACCGAUGAAACAUUGUGCAGAGU
rfam:Blautia sp. An249 An249_contig_26, whole genome shotgun sequence.